CCUUCCUGCUACAGUGCUGCCAGCAUACUAUAACCUACCCUGGAUCACUCUUGUGUUUUCGUGUCAUCUGUCUCAUCAAUCUCCCUUCUUUUUUGUUCCACAGAAAACAGCAGCUAAUAGGUUUUGAUUUCUUUGACUAAUUUAUGAAACAAUUCUCAGUAAAAUAUGGAAAGAAUAAUUUGCAGAAAUAUAAGUUGUUAGAACUGAGGCCUUAAACACUUAACUGACAUCUUGAUCAAUCAUUAACUCCACCUCUUGCAUUCUGACUGCAUGUUUUAUUUACAUGACACUUUCUGGAGCAGGAGGGGAAGAUGUACCUAAAAAUGGAUACUGCGAGCUGUAGAAAAGGCUCCAUGGGAGAAACCCCGGAUCAACAAGCUUCUUCGUCACCACAGCAACUAGCUACAAGUGGCACAGGGGAACUCUACAGCCAGAUGGAAAUUCCCGUACACACCCCGGGCCACGCAGAAACAGUCUCCUCAGUCGAACAUGGAAGGUGACAGUUGCAUGGAAAUGGAGAGGACUCCCCAGCCAGAUGGGUGGGCCUCAGCCCGUGGUGACUAGACCUCAGGAGAGCAUGCUCCAACAAAUCCUUUAAACAACAGAGUGAGAGAACCAGAUCCCAGACAGAAAUCCUGGAAAAUGUGCUGCCAUCCUACACCCCUUGUACUUCAGCCAGGAGCUCCAGUCUUCUGUUCCCUAGUUCGUUUGCUGAGUCAUCUAGGUGGAUGUCACAUCAAGAGUCCACAGCUCAUUAGCCAGCUAGUUUUCUGGAGCCCCCCAACCUGCACCACACACCCAGUGGAAGACAAAGCACAUCAAGGCUUAGAUGCCUCCCCACAGGUGGAAGAGUCCUCUGGCCAUGUCCACCUUGCCUUCAUCCUUUCUAGAUCCAGGGUUACCCCCAAGAGGCUGCUGUCUGUACCACUUCUAGAGCUCAUCACAGUAGUGACCAGUGCACAACUCAUUGCCCUGAUCCAGAAAGAGAUGAUGCUCAAAAUCCCAGAUACAGACCAACUCACCUCCCAUACUUGAGUAGAUCCAGUCUGAAUGCUGCAGGUAUAAAGUCUUCACUGGAACAAGGAUAGGAGAUUAUACCAGAGCACACAGUGUCAAGUCCUGGAGAUAUGUCAGCUUUGCCUCCAACCCAGUGGAUAACAUCACCACAGGCAUGACAUUGGUAUCUAUCAAUAACUGAAGCAGAUACCAUCAAGUCCUUCCUUUCUCUUGCAGGCUUAUUAGCUGGAUUGCUUUGCAAAAAAAAUUUCACACUACUCCAGAAUGGGAAGCCAGUACAACCCACCAGUCGCCUAGUCACCCUCGAUUUACACCAUGACAGGCCUAAUCCCUGUGGGAGGGAGAUUGCUGAGGGUGUUUGCUGAGAUAAGAUGCUAGUACCGGGUCCUAUGAGGGUAGAAAGCUGUCACUCCAACCAUUCCCAAGAUGGCCAGUCUCCCACAAGUGAGCAUCUGCCUUAUGAAGCCAACCUUCUAUUCCACAGAGGCCAAUUGUUUUGGCCCAUUCCUGGUUAAGCGAAGCUGAGGUACAGACAAAAGAAGGGUCAUCAUUUUCAAGUGCCUCACCGCAGGAUGUGUGCAUCUAGACAUCUUAUGUUAUUCAUGGCCCUCGGCAAACUCACCGCCCAAAGACCUUAUGUGUGAGACCUUAAAGCAGCAGUUAGCCAAGCAUUGCAUCCAUUUCGGAUUCAGUCCCCCCAAUGCCUCACACUGUGGAGGAGCCUUGGGAGUGGGAGAUCAAGACGGUCAAGGUAGCUCUUUGUUAACAAAGGGACUCAGACAGUGACCGAAGAAGUCCUAAGGAUGGUCAUAGUGGAAGUACACUCACCAGCCACUUUAUUAGGUACACCAGUACAAUUGUA